rnacentral:piRNA from 1 species
UAACUUUCGAUUGACUUGCUGAUAAGAG